GACGAACGCUGGCGGCGUGCUUAACACAUGCAAGUCGAACGGAAAGGCCCUGCUUUUGUGGGGUGCUCGAGUGGCGAACGGGUGAGUAACACGUGAGUAACCUGCCCUUGACUUUGGGAUAACUUCAGGAAACUGGGGCUAAUACCGGAUAGGAGCUCCUGCUGCAUGGUGGGGGUUGGAAAGUUUCGGCGGUUGGGGAUGGACUCGCGGCUUAUCAGCUUGUUGGUGGGGUAGUGGCUUACCAAGGCUUUGACGGGUAGCCGGCCUGAGAGGGUGACCGGCCGCAUUGGGACUGAGAUACGGCCCAGACUCCUACGGGAGGCAGCAGUGGGGAAUAUUGCAAAAUGGGCGGAAGCCUGAUGCAGCAACGCCGCGUGCGGGAUGACGGCCUUCGGGUUGUAAACCGCUUUCGCCUGUGAAGAAGAGUGAGUGACGGUAAUGGGUAAAGAAGCACCGGCUAACUACGUG
rnacentral:rRNA from 1 species